rnacentral:rRNA from 1 species
GACGAACGCUGGCGGCGUGCUUAACACAUGCAAGUCGAACGGGCCCGCUCUCUUUUUUGGGGGUGGGUUGAGUGGCGAACGGGUGAGUAUCACGUGAGUAACCUGCCCCCUGCUCCUGGAUAACUGCUUGAAAGGGCGGCUAAUACGGGGUGUGCCGGCUGGUCCGCAUGGGCCUGGUCGGGAUAGUUUCAUCUUCGGGUGUUUCGGUGGGGGAUGGGCUCGCGGCCUAUCAGCUUGUUGGUGGGGUGAUGGCCCACCAAGGCGGUGACGGGUAGCCGGCCGGAGAGGGUGGGCGGCCACACGGGGACUGAGACACGGCCCAGACGCCUGCGGGAGGCAGCAGUGGGGGGUAUUGCACAAUGGGCGGAAGCCUGAUGCAGCGACGCCGCGUGAGGGAGGGAGGCCUUCGGGUUGUGAACCUCUUUCUCCGGUGGUGAAGGCCCUGUCCGUUGCGGCGGGGUUGACGGUAGCCGGGUAUGAAGCGCCGGCUAACUACGU